rnacentral:lncRNA from 1 species
UCCCCAAGGGCGUGGGGGCUAAUAUAGAUAGGCUACAAUCGCGAAAAACCCCCUGCAGUAUCAAACUGCUCAAAAUCUGCCACCUUGUAUCGGUACACGGGCCCUUGUACCGGUACAAGGCCCACGAAAAUGCAAACCCGAGGCUCGGGUUGCGGGGUCUGCGGCUCUGUACCGGUACAAGCCCGAUGGCCGGCUCUGUACCGGUACAAGCCCGAUGGCUGUACCGGUACAACCAUCAACCUUGUACCGGUACAAGACCAACCUUGUUCCGGUACAAGCUCUGCUGCAGUCUAUCCGAGAGCUGACCAAGGUCCAAUCCUUUUGGGCUUUGGUACCAGCUUAAAACCACAAUUCUCUGGAUGCGAGCCGUAGGUCAGAGCACUGUCUACGACCUUCCAGAAAGUCUGAAAAAGCUCGACACACAGAUCAAACACUCGAACCUCGCAAUUUGCAAAGAUCCAGUGUGUUACAUUCAUCCCUCCUAAAAAGGAGUUUCGUCCGCGAAACUCAAAAGCAAACACAUACCUCAAGACUCCAUCUGAAAAAGAUGGGGAUAGCGCUCCCGUAGUGCGCUCUCCAACUCUCAAGUGGCCUCGCGCUCGUCGUGGUUGCUCCAAAGCACCUUCACGUAGGGAAUCUCACGGUUCCGCAAUCUUUUCACCUCGCGAGCCAGAAUCUUCAAAGGUUGUUCCUCAAAGCUCAAAUCCUCCUGCAACUCCAAAGGUGUAGCAUCCAAUACAUGAGUCGGGUCGAAGAUGUACUUCCGAAAGACCGAUACAUGAAAGACGUUAUGCACGCCCGAUAGGUUCGGUGGUAGAGCAAGUCUAUACGCUACCGGGCCUACACGCUCCAAAAUCUCAUAAGGUGCAAUGAAACGGGGGCUCAACUUUUCCCGAAUCCCAAAUUUCUUUAUUCCUCUAGUCGGCGAGACCUUUAAGAAGACAUGGUCUCCAACUUGGAACUCUAAGUCCCGCAGCCGUCGAUCAGCGUAGCUCCUCUGUCUACUCUGCGCCGUCAAAAGUCGCUCCCGAGCAAUGCGAACUUUGUCCUCAGCUUCCUGGAGCACAUCAGGGCCUAAAGCCAGUCUCUCACCAACUUCACUCCAGUGUAGCAGCGAUCUACACUUCCGUCCAUAAAGUGCUUCGAAGGGCGUCAUCUUGAUGCUUGCUUGAUAACUGUUGUUAUAAGCAAACUCCGCCAUAGGUAAAUGCUGCGACCAUCCUCCCUGGAAGUCUAUCACACAUGCUCGGAGCAUAUCCUCUAAAGUCUGAAUAGUGCGCUCCAACUGUCCAUCACUCUGCGGGUGGAAUGCGGUACUGANCAUCUUGAUGCUUGCUUGAUAACUGUUGUUAUAAGCAAACUCCGCCAUAGGUAAAUGCUGCGACCAUCCUCCCUGGAAGUCUAUCACACAUGCUCGGAGCAUAUCCUCUAAAGUCUGAAUAGUGCGCUCCAACUGUCCAUCACUCUGCGGGUGGAAUGCGGUACUGAAAUCCAAACGAGUGCCUAAGGCGUUCUGCAGAUUCCUCCAAAAGUGCGACACAAAUCGGGUGUCUCUAUCCGAUACAAUCGAUGUAGGCACUCCAUGAAGUCGCACAAUCUCAUCAAGGUACACUUGUGCGAGCUUCUCCCCGGUCCAAGUGGUAUGAAUAGGCACGAAGUGCGCCGACUUUGUCAACCUAUCCACGAUCACCCAAAUAGCAUCAUGCCCGGCCUGAGAGCGAGGCAAUCCCGUCACGAAGUCCAUGGCGAUCUUCUCCCACUUCUACACUGGAAUAGGCAAACUCUGAAGCUUCCCAGCGGGAACUCGGUGCUCUGCCUUCACUUGUUGUCAAGUUAAGCAUCUAGCGACAAACUCGCCAACAUCCUUUUUCAUUCCGAGCCACCAAUAAAGUAGUUUCAAGUCAUUGUACAUCUUGGUGCCACCCGGAUGUAUAGCAUAGGGUGCCCGGUGCACUUCUUGAAGAAUGUCUUCUUUAAUUCCCAAAUCCGCCGAAACGCAAAGUCGUCCCCGAAAGCGCAUCAACCUUCGGUCGUCCACAAAGAAAUCGCCGGAGCAACCAUCAAUCAUUUUUUCCUCUAAUCUUUUGCAAUCCCUCAUCGGUGGCUUGCUUUUCUAUGAUUCUAUCCAGCAAUGUAGGUUGCACUACUAAAGUCAUCAGUCUCAAGGGUGUAUCGGGAGCCACCACCUCCAACUGCAACCGCCUCAUCUGCUCGAACAACGGCGGUUGAGUUACGACAUGCAUCGCUAAGUUUUCCAUCGAUUUCCUACUUAGCGCAUCUGCCACCACGUUAGCCUUGCCCGGGUGGUAGAGAAUAGUAAGAUCGUAAUCCUUGAGUAGCUCCAACUAUCUGCGCUGUCUCAAGUUUAACUCAUUCUGAGUGAAUAAGUACUUUAAGCUCUUGUGAUCCGUAUAUACUUCGCAUCGCUCGCCGUAAAGAUAGUGGCGCCAUAGUUUCAAAGCAAAGACUACGGCCGCCAACUACAAGUCAUGAGUAGGAUAGUUUCUUUGAUACUCCUUCAAUUGGCGAGAAGCAUACGCGAUCACCUUGCCGUCCUGCAUCAAAACACAACCCAAUCCAUUAAAAGAAGCAUCACUAUAAACCACAUACCCUGCGCCAGCGACUGGUAGGGCUAGGAUCGGGGCGGUAGUCAAUCUUUGCUUCAACUCUUGGAAGCUCCUUUCACACGCAUCAUUCCAAAUGAACUUAACACCUUUAUGCGUGAGCCUCGUGAGGAGAGUAGAUAACCUUGCAAAUCCCUCAACGAACCGUCUAUAGUAGCUGGCCAAGCCAAGAAAGCUCCGUAUCUCCGUGACGCUCGUCGGCCUUGGCCAAUCCUUGAUAGCCUCAAUUUUUCUCGGGUCCACGGCGAUGCCUGAUCCUGAAAUCAAAUGUCUAAGGAAUGCUACCUCUCGAAGCCAAAAUUCGCAUUUCUUCAACUUGGCAUAGAGCUCCUUUUUUCGAAGUACUUGGAGUACAAUCCUCAAAUGCUCCUCGUGAUCUGCAUCACUCCGGGAAUAAACCAAGAUGUCGUCGAUGAAUACCACGAUGAACCUAUCCAGAUAAGGCUUAAAGACACGAUUCAUCAAAUCCAUAAAAGCUGCCGGGGCAUUAGUAAGCCCAAACGGCAUAACUGUGAACUCAUAGUGUCCAUACCGUGUCCUGAAAGCCGUCUUUGAAACGUCCUCGGGCUUAAUCUUUAACUGGUGGUAUCCCGACUGUAAGUCUAUCUUGAAUACACACAUGAUCCCUGAAGCUGAUCAAAAUAAGUCGUCAAUCUCGGCAACGGAUACUUAUUCUUGAUCGUGAUUUGUUGAGCUCACGAUAUCACACAUAGCGAAGCGAUCCGCCCUUUUUCUUGACGAACAAAACUGGAGCUCCACAAGCGCAGACGCUCGCCGGAAUGAAGCCUCCUGUCGAGAAGAUCCUGUAGCUGUGCCUUCAGCUCCUUCAACUCCGCCGGUGCGAUCCUAUAAGGUGCCUUUGAGAUUGGGGUAGUCCCAGGGACGAGAUCUACACCACAACUCCGAUCUCCCUAUCAGGAGGCAUACCCUGUAGCUCAGCUGGAAACAUCCUGAAACUCCCAUACCACCGGAAUGUCCUCAGCCCAGCCAUAUAUCAUCGCCCUCGACACAACACUAGCCAAAAAGGUUACGCAGCCUCUACUGAUCAGCUGCCUACUCGAGACGAGCUGAUCGUCAUUGCGAAAAGCGAACAUCUGGCAUCCUCUGAAAAUCACUCAACUUGCCCCGGUUCUCUAAAAGUAACCGGUGCGAUUCUACAGUCAAUCGUGGCAUAAUACUUGGUCAGCCAAUCCAUACCAAGACCACAUCGAACUCCCCCAACUUGCGCAAGGCUAGCAAGUCCACGGGCAUAAUCCAAUCCCUAUCCGCACAGGCAGUUGGGGCAAAACUCUCGAAUAUCAAGGGUGUGGUCGGGUACUACAACCUGUCCUGGAUGCAACAAAAGAAACUAGCUGGAUGCCAUGCAACUCGGCGAAUAGCCGAUCUAUGAAUGAAUGUGAUGCACGCGUAUCAAAAUGCACGAACCCUAAUGCCAUCAAGUAAAAUGAUACCUGCAACCACAUCUCUCGGCUGUCACCGCCUCCUCGGUCUGAGCGCAUACAUGUGGCCACUCGGGCCUGGUCGUGAUCCUUCGCUCUGGCGUUGGACGGUGGCCGCCCAGGUUGUACUGUGCCGAUGGAGUCCCCCUGGCUGGCGGCUUGUAGAGCCGGUGCUAAAGCAGUCGACGGUGCCUGUGAAAAGCUCCUCGAGCCAUUCGGUCCGCACGUGGCCCCCCUGGCCACACUGGAAGCACCUGCCCGCCCGCUGUGGACACUGCGGUGGUGAUGAGAACACACACGAUCACACACGGAAGGGCCGGCGUCGAUCAGAUCCUCGCGCUGAGGUGCCGGGCCACCCCACGCUGCUGGCUCCUGGGUGCUUCGACGGCCUCCUGAGUGCGUCUGGCCCGCACCCUCCGCGCAGGCCUCUUGGCCUUACCCCUAUCCAAGCCUCUCGCCGCUCCCUGCAUCUCUGUCCGCCCGCUCUCCACAAUGAGCGCGCGAUCUACCACCUCCCGAUAGGUUUGGAGGUUGGAGGAUUGCACAAACCGGUAGAUAGACGGUCUCAACCCUCGCUCGAAGAUGCGGGCCUUGUCCUCGUCGUCCCGCACGGCGAAAGGCACGCAAUGCAGAAGUCGAGAAAACUCCUCUCGUACUCGCUACGGUGCGGUCUCCCUGGCGCAAGCUGCGCAGAUCCUGCUCCAUCUUCCUCUUGACGCUCGUCGGGAAGUAAUGCGCUAAGAGAAGUUUCUUGAACCUCGUCCAAGUAAUAGCCGCCAAGUCCGUACUGGGGGUGCUCCUGGAGGUCCAACCACCAGCGAUAGCCUCGCGUCCAGAUGGUGAGUGACAAGCCAAACUCUGUCUCUCUCCUCCACGAAGGUGUCGCGGAAGAGCUUCUCCAUAUGCAUUAACCACUUCUCCACGAUCCAGUGGUCGACCUUCUCGCCGUCGAAGGACUCGGGGACUGCACCUCCUGACACUUGAGACGCUCCAUCAGUCUAUCUCGAUCCGCCCCUCAACCAAUGUAGGAAUGCAGCUCCAACUGGGGCCUCUGACAGGUGGUGCCACCAAAACCUCCUCCUGUGUGUGGCCACAGGCGCCGCACGCGAAGAACUAGGCGCGGGGGACGGCGCUCUCGGUGCAACGUCCCAACGGGUGCUGGCGGUGUAGGCCCUGCGUCUCCCUAGAAGCUGGCUGCCUGCUGCAGAAGUAGAUCCUCCAGGCGCUUCAUUCCGCGCCUCCUGUCGGCGCGCCGCCUCGGUCUGCUGUCGGGCCGCCUCCGCCUGCUGAGUGACUAAAUUGGUGAGAGCCGCAAGCUGGCCCCUCAACUCACGGAUCUCGCCAGAUCCGGAGGUAGCGGAGGUCUCGACCUCCUCAAAGUUCGCCGCAUUGUCCGCCCGCAGAUUGGGAGCGAGUAACGAUAUUGUCACUACAAAACAUCAUAAAAGCGCAAGUUAGUAAACCCACGCCAUCGCUCCCGCUCAAUAAACAAUACCCAAUCAUGCGAAAGUAAAGAAGUGUUCUACACUACUAACGUCCCGAAGGCUGUCUGGCAUAAGACCCAUCCGAAAGCUGUCUGGCUUUACCCUGCCUAAUGGCCCCGUGUAGUCAACAUCCCGACCCUAGAAUGAGCCUUUUCCACGGCAAUCUACUUCGGCGCUCAUCCGCACGGCGAACGUAUCGCAAUGGCCAACUCCGGAUGCCGGCUUGUAGGGAGCGACCUCACAAGCAUGUGCGAAUGAGCACAAUGACAACAUGCUAUCAGUAUGUCCCAAGACCAAGUCCUCAUGUCUACAACAUGGAAUAUGUCACAACUCUCUCAUAGGCCUAUCUCUAUGUCAUUAUGUCUAAAACAUAGAAAUAAUAGAUACCCAUGGCCUAUCUCUAUGUCUCAAUACAAUAGUCUCAUAAUGUGCUAGUCUAAGUGCCCUUUAUGACACUUUCGUUACUAAGUCCAAGCUUAACCCAAAGUUCAUCAAUGCUUAAUUAAGUCAUUCUAAACACUAGAACAUGAUGCUAAACGACUAGCAUGAGCACUACCCAAUACAUCAUCAACACCCACAAUGCUCUACUAUAUAGAGUGAAAAUUUUCUUAUAUAUAACACAUGCAUUUUUGGUGUUUUAAAAUUCACAUAAAUUCUAUUAGGCAUAGAUUUGCAUUUAAAAAUAGUAAACGGAAGGUUUAGAAAGCUUAGGGGCCAUUUCGCCCCGUUUUCAUGAAGCCAAACCCACCGAUGACAACGAAACUCUUCGUUUGCUCCAAUGAAGGCGUCCCCUAGCCUCCUAGUACCCUAGAGGUAUAAAAACAAGUGUCACAUGAACCAAACGAACAAUACUUAGCUCGAUCAUUAAGCUAAUCAAGCAUAGGUGAGGAAAACUCACCUCUAAUGCAAAAAUCUCCUCUAAAGCUUCAAAAGGGAGUUAGAAUCCUUCCAAUCCAAGCCAAAGGAAGAUUCUAAUCCCAACAAUCUAGCCACAAAAGCCCUAGAUUCAAAAUGCCCAAAAAUAAGCCCUAAAACCUCAUUCUAGGGUUUAAUUCCAAAAAUAUCAUCAAAGCUAGGAAUUUAGAGGAAAGAACGAGUCAUUUACCUCUAAAAUGCUCCAAUCCAAGCUCUAAACCUUCAAAGUCCAAAGAUCUCUCCUCCACCAAGCCUCAAAUCCAAGCUUCUAGCUCCAUCAAUGGUGGAAAAUGCUCUAGGAAGCAAAAGAGAGCAAAAUGCUUUCUAAAUCCAAGCAAAAAGAAGUAAAAUCCAAGGGGGGAAGAAGAGAGGAAGCCCUUACCUUCUUCUCCUGUGAUCUCAGCUCAGGGAGAGUCCCCAAGGGCGUGAGGGCUGAUAUAGAUAGGCUACAAUCGCGAAAAACCCCCUAUAGUAUCAAACUGCUCAAAAUCUGCCACCUUGUACCGGUACACGGGCCCUUGUACCGGUACAAGGCCCACGAAAAUGCAAACCCAAGGCUCGGGUUGCGGGGUCUGCGGCUCUGUACCGGUACAAGCCCGAUGGCUGUACCGGUACAACCAUCAACCUUGUACCGGUACAAGACCAACCUUGUUCCGGUACAAGCUCUGCUGCAGGCUACCCGGGAGCUGACCAAGGUCCAAUCCUUUUGGGCUUUUGGUACCAGCUUAAAACCACAAUUCUCGGGAUGCGAGCC